CGUGAGGGAAAGUUGCAAAGUACUUUGAAGAGAGAGUUAAACAGGGCGUGAAACCGCUAGCUGGUAAACGAGUAGAGCCACGAAGUCGUUUCGUAGAAUAAGAGAUACAGAUUCAGUUAAGGUUGGCGCAAGUUGGCUUUGGUGCAUUUCUGUUCAUCUCUCUAUGUAUAUGCGUACACUGCAACCAAUUAGACGAUCAAUUGUGGAAAUAGCUAGCCUACAUUGGGAGAAAUCUUAGUGUUAGUUAGCGGAAAUGCUUAUAUACUGCCUUCCGUAGGUUGUUCGAUUUGAUCCUCGUGGUCAUCUUGAGCGUAUGAUGGGGUGGUAUGAGAGCUACGAUUGAAUACUGAUUGGCACAAUGAAAAUCCAUUCGCAAGAAUGGUCCCAGAUAACACUACCUGUGUCGUAUGUGUGUACAAGUGUUUAUUAUUAGCGUAAGCUUGGUAGUUUUAAAUUUAGACUGGUGGGCUAUCUUUGGUUUCGGCCCUUGAUGCCUAUUCAGCUUUCUAUCUAAUUGGCUAUCAACUUUGCUAGUAAUCUUGUGCUUGCCAAUGAUAGCAUGCAUGCGACAAUGGGCAAGUAAUCUUAUUGGCAGUGAGUAGGUCGGCUUUCUACACGACCCGUCUUGAAACACG
rnacentral:rRNA from 1 species